CUCCAGCAUACACUCACGCACAGCCUCGCUCGCACGGACCCACAAGCGAAGGAAACGGACUGCGGUGCCCUGGAGAAGCGAGUGGAGUCGUCUCCGAGAGCAUCUCUUUGCUGCUUCCUUUUCUCUAGUGCGCAUGUGUUUGUGUGUGGGGUUGUGGCUGUCAUCGGCGCUACCAGCACUCAUCCUCCACGGCUCCAUCAGCCUCUUCUCCCGUCUGGGGGCAGCGGCUUGAUCAAGCAAGCAAGAACUCUGUCGCACCACGCACACCCACACGCUAGAGAGUGGGCGGCGGUAAGGCGCCCACGUACCUGGUCCUGGCAAGUACUCGCGAUUCUUCACGUGCAUGGGGUUGGGCAGCGCGGGUUGCGUGUCCCUUGUCGACUUUUCGGCACACUCUCGCCGCAGGCGCACGCGCACAGGGUCGAGCAGUCAUGUUUCGUCGCUCACUCGCCGCCUAUGGCAGCUAUCUGUUGAACCAACGACUCAUCGCGGAUUGGUGGCAGGCAGGCCACCGCGAGGAGGUGCACCAGGCAGCCAAGGCGCGGCUCAGCGCGGCCCUGGAAGAGGUCGAGCAGCGGUCGUCGUCCGCGGCACAAUCAUCGACGGCUUGUGUGGAUAACGAGAGCGACCCCUCAUUUUCGCCUUCGGGUUCGUGCGAGUACGCGGAUGCGCCGCAUCGUUCUCCGCCGCUCAGUCUGUAUGAGGCCAACGCCCUUGUCGCGACUUUUGUGAGCAGCCACAACACGCAGGACUUGAGUGCUACACUCCAGUACAUUCGUGAGCAGCUCGGGGAGGAGCUCACCGCCUAUCAUUUCCACUCGCUGCUGCGCACAUUCAACUACCACCAUGACGCAGCUAAUGCGCUUCAGGUGCUGGAGGUGAUGGUACACAGCGGCACGACGACACUGGAGACGUACGCCCGCAUGGUUGACUGUGCGCACUGCCUGUGCCCGCCUGAUGUGGAGGCCCGUCUGUUGCAACUUGUUGCCCUGGCGCAGGAAGCGUUCGGGACCCACGUAAUGGAAGACGAAGCCGGCACCGAGGGAGGGACAGUGGCCGCGUACAGCUUUUCGGGAGAAGGAUUGCAGGCACGCCAGGCGGCUGCGGAUCUUACGGGGGCCGGCUCGUCGCACCCCUCUGGUGAAACGGCAACGCCGCAGCCGGCGAGACCGCCCCGCAGUGCGCCUGUGCUUUCCUCUCUUCUUUACCACUGCUCCACCACGAGCCAUCGGAGUACGGUUGCGUCGUGUGUUGUGAUGGCGCUGUGGAUACGUGCUUUCGGUGUGGAGUUGACGGACUGGGAUGUGAUGUCGGUGCUGAGCAGCGUGCUCACGCACCCCGACGAGUUUCCGCAAUUCUGCGCUAUGUUCGGCUGCUUCGAUGCGUACAAGCGGGGCACCGUGAGCGUGCAGGCAGUGGUGGAGCGACUGGCGCUACUUGGGGAGGUGGAGCGGUGUGGACCGCCGACGGCCAACGAGCUCGUGGACGAGCAUGUUGAAAGCGAUGACACAGGCAGCUUUGACGGAGACAAGGAAAAGGCCCGGGACAGCCGUGUGCCGGCUGGGCCGUCUGCCACGUCGACGUUGACAUCUUUGGUGGGGGCGAUGCAGGCGUCCCUCCGCGCCGCCGGUAUCGAUGCAGCUUCCAGAGUGGUUUCGCUACCCUUCGUUAAUGCGCAGACCAACAGCAUGGAGGAGUUGGUCGCUGCCACAUUGCUGCCGCUCGCCCAAACGGGCGUUGGGCCACAUCACUACAACGCCGGCCACCUCUUCCACGCCUUGAGUCUCGUACAAAGCAGUGUGGGGGACGACACCGGGGCCAUUCAGCUACUGCAGCGCGCGGCCUGUGAGCAGCAGCGGUGCACCGUGGCACAGGAGGCCCUAGAUAUGACUGCCAACUCGCGAGCGUCGAAGGGACAGCCUGGUGAAGAGCUCGCCAGCUCUGCAGAGUCCUCGUCGUCGCUCGCGGUGACUUCUGCGUCCGCGCCUGCGUCAAGAGAGCCAUACUGCGUCUCGGUCCAUCAUCUCUUAGACGUGGGCACGCUGCUGAGUCGCGUCAGCGCGACAACACUGCGUGACGUGCAGCGGCCCUUUCACGGUGCUUUGCGCCAGAUGGUGGAGGAGCUCUCUGAAAAGCCGACGGAGAAGCCGUCUCCCACUUCCACUUCUCCUCCAUCCACUUGGCCGACCAUGCUGGCGUCGUGUACACCGCCGGUGCCCUGCGCACGCGACUUGGUCACCGUGAGCAGCUACGAGACGCAGUUCAUCCGGACCGUGUCCGAGGCGCGCGCGGUGCUCAGACGCGCGAUCGACGCAGGCAACGCCACCGCUAGUAACGGACGUGUACCCCGCAGCACGCAGUUCAUGUUUAUGCAGCUCGCCCAGUGGUGCUGCCGCCAUCCGCCGUGCAAUCCAAAACUGACGCCGGAGGGGUUGGAGGAGCGGACCAAGUGGGGCCGGUAUUUGGAUGCCCGCGACACGUCGCUUGCCCUCUUCGGGUCUGCACGACAGUCUCGUGACUCGAUGAAGCACCUCUUCUACAACAAUAAUCAGCUGCCUGAGCUGCGUAGCGAAGCCGUCAUCGCGAAGGACUUUGCCGACGUACACGAGCUCUUCUUCGGCUCAGCCUCACCAUCAUCGUCGCUGUCACAGGCGGAGCUGCAGCUGUCUAUGCGGCAGGCGCGCACCACCCUGCCGCACACUGGGAGUAGCGCCGCCAUCGUGCCCCGAUACCUCUGGGACUCGGCCGUCUACAACCCCUACCCGGCAGCUCAGCUGGCGAUUAAUACGUGUGAGUUUUCUAAGAGUCCUUGUGGCGAGGGGACUCAAAGCCCUUUCGCGCUGGCGGAAGUGCACCAAACCGAUGCCACCCUUGGAAACGAUGCCGAGGAGGACGUUGGCGACGCCGAGUUCUUCGUCGAGCUCUGGCACGCCUUGCUGGACAAGACCACCUCGGUUGGUAGCAACGAGGCUUGGUAUCUGCAGAACACGGAUAUGUUUCUGCUGCUCGUCCGUUGCCUACUGCACCGACUGGACUGGGAGGCAGCCGCGCAUCUGACGCGCAAGAUGACACAGCACACAAACUACACCUACCUCAUGGAUCACGAGCUCACAACUAUCUUUCGCGAGAUCGGCGACCCUGCUGGUUGUCUGGCAUUCAAGGUGGCGACGAAGCUGUUCGACGGCCGCAUUACGAAGGACGGACAGACGAAACGGGAGAGGUUUCAUCAGGAGCAGUUUAGCUGAGAUCGAAAGAAAAGAUGGGUAUCCACAUCAGUGAGAAGUAACUCUUCGAUAGCGGCAGCGUAGAGGAGAGAAAUGCGCCUCGCCCGAGCCCAGAGGAGGGGGCCGAUUGCCUUCUGACACACACACACACACCCACUCCCUCUCUGCACAUCGCGCAGGCCCCACGCGUGGCGGUCUCUCCGUUUCUACUUCUCUGCCUCCGUGCAUCCACCGCGGUGUCCUCGACGCGAAGAAAAGCGCAAGGCGAGAAUCGCCCCGCUGCUUCGCGUUGCAUUUUUUUCGAUAUAUUUCUCCUUCGAGACACCGUGCCUUUUGUUGUGAUGGACGUGCGUCACCUUUCGUGCAUCAGUAUUCGGCCGACGUCUCCGCAGUUAUCGGAGCCGCCCUCCUUCCACCCAAGUUCUUCGAUACAGAGGUGCCAGAGACUUUGGCAGAGCGCACGCAUGUGCGUGUGUGCGUGUGGAGACGCACUUCUUAACGAGCUCGUUCUUGGUGACUUUUUUGUCUGUGUGCGUGUACGUUGCCUAUUGUACUCUCGCGCUCCCUCCUAGCCUCCCCUGCGUCCUCGGCCCCUCGUCUGCAGCCUCUCUCACCCUCCAUCGCGCCCGCCUUCUCUUACCUCUGCUUUUCCAUCCACCAGUGUCUGCUCGGAGGGGGGGGAGGGACGCCGGCAGGGGAGGCGGCAGAGGCUCGGAAAAAGAUGGCACUCAUACGCUUCGUAGAGAAAGGGACAGCGCCCCUGAAAGGGCACAGACCCACCGCCGUCACAAGCAGGUGGAGUAUCACACUUCUUCGCGCGCAGACGAGUUGACGGCGAAAGGGAAACUGACGUGAGUGAGUUCUUGGGGGAAAAGGCGAAAUGGGAGGAGUGGUAGCGGGUGGACCUUGCAACCAUGCUUGCUUGUGUUUGACGAAGCCUGCAACACCCCCCUCCCCCCACAAACCCACACAGAAACACUCCAUUCAUGUGCCUGCGGUAGGAAGGGGUAUGCAUAUGCCGAAAGAGUCACUUUGCCCCCCCCCCCCUCAUGUGUGUCAGCUGCAGACACGCAUCCCUUUCCCAUUCGAAUCUCCUGCUUUCCUCCCCUCUCCGCGCCCACCUUUGUCUGCUUGUGUUCCCUUCAUGGGUUGCCUCAUUCCUCCCCCUUCUACACACACACACACACACGCUGACACAUCGACUCACCUCUGCACAUGACCCCUCCCCUAAAACGCCCACUUUUCCGUCGCCAG
rnacentral:misc_RNA from 1 species